GAAAUUUUCGCUUUCUUCCAAAGCGACAUUGUAGCCGCGGCAGACUCCUCCCAAAUUCUCUCGCGGCCAUCAGUUUCUCCCAAGGGAAGAAGUAGCCAUGGCUGAUCAGGUUCAACAUCCCACCAUCUACCAGAAGGUUGCUGGUCAGCUCUCCCUUCAGUCGCGGGUUGCUUCGGGUUUCCGUUCUUGUGAUGAUGGCUUUAGGAACCCUGCAUUUUAUCCGAGGCGUGCAUCAAUCAGCAAUCAUACAAAUGCUGCUUUUCAGUAUCCUGCUACUACUGAUCUUUCUAGGGUUGCCUCAACUGCCUCCCCCAUUUUUGUUGCUGCCCCGGCGGAGAAAGGAAACUUUAUGAUCGACUUUCUUAUGGGUGGUGUGUCUGCUGCUGUGUCCAAGACAGCUGCUGCCCCGAUUGAGCGUGUCAAGCUCUUG
rnacentral:misc_RNA from 1 species